GCCCCGCCCCCCAUGGAUAGGUGCUUCCAGAAGGGACUGUAACCUGCCAAACCUCCAUCUUGACCCAGACAGGCAGGAUUGCCCUUCGCUCCAGACGAAGUUGCUUGCCAUAUUCGGCGCAAACACUUUCUUCACCAUUACUUCUUGCAUGUCCACAGUCUGAUAUACAUCUUUGUCUGUGGGAGGAAGCGAACAAGGUAAAGCUUACUCUUGGAAAUAGGGGUGGGGCUCUAAAUUUGUAGAUACAGGUGGCAAUGAUAUUAUGCAGAAAUUGAUACCCGACUGUAGGGGUUGAGUUGCUACGCACACGACUGUCCUAAAAUGGCUGGCUGACUUGUGGGGCUGUACAUACCCUUGGCUGGUGCUUUGAACCUCGUGUAACAGCGGAAGACAACCGCAAAAGCCAAGGCCUCUGUGGUCUGGAAGAUGAUGAAGACGAAUGGGAACAGGAACAGGGGUCCGAUGACCUCCAGGGGGAACGCCACUUUCAGAACGGUGAAGCAAAUUUGGGCAUUCUGACAGCCUGUUUCUACACCGACCGUCCUCCUGCAUCUGAGAUGGGAGAAAGCAAAAAAAAAAAAAAAAA